CUCACUGGGAGGCAGUAGUGGGGCUCCGGGUUGUCAGUGCCCGGGGGUUGGGGGGGGGAAAGGCUUCAGCUGUUAGCCCCUGUAGGGCUGACAGCCAACAGCCGAUCAUUCAAAUAACUUGUCAGAUGUCCAUCAUAAAGUGCUAAUAAGGUGCAACAGAAUAAUCUGCAGAUGAAGGAGGCGUCAAAAGGUGUUUGCCAGUUGAGUUCAUCUCACAUACCCCGUGAUAAAAUGAUAGCUUAAGUCUUAAUAUUUGGAAGAAUCAUCUCCUCCCAUGAGGAAACGAAGAGAAGCUUCAGAUUUUUCAUCUCCUUGUGUAAGAUUUGAACUGAAUCCUACUGCCAGUUAAUCACUAGAUAUUUCAGAUUUUGACUGUCAUAUCUGAAAAUGUAUACGGCACAUAAGAACUGUUCUACAAAAGAAGAAACACAUGCAAAAAAGAUUUAUCCCCAAAGCUUUCUAAUCUCUCUCCAGAGCCUUCUGAAGUGCAAAGCUACAAAGUGCCAGCUGGUAACACAGUCGUUUUCUAGUGGACUGUGGGUUUCUUUGUUAAAGUUGAGAAAAUAUUGUCUCCAAAUGGCAAGUUACUUGGAUUGAUAAAUCUUACUGCUAAAUCCAGUAGCAUGAAACCUGAUCCUGUAAGCUCUCUCAUGCCGCACUCUUAAGGUUUCUCCUUUUAUUGUUUAUUGCU